rnacentral:rRNA from 1 species
GACUGCGUACCUUUUGUAUAAUGGGUCAGCGACUUAUAUUUUGUAGCGAGGUUAACCGAAUAGGGGAGCCGAAGGGAAACCGAGUCUUAACUGGGCGUCUAGUUGCAAGGUAUAGACCCGAAACCCGGUGAUCUAGCCAUGAGCAGGUUGAAGAUUGGGUAACACUAAUUGGAGGACCGAACCGACUAAUGUUGAAAAAUUAGCGGAUGACUUGUGGCUGGGGGUGAAAGGCCAAUCAAACCGGGAGAUAGCUGGUUCUCCCCGAAAUCUAUUUAGGUAGAGCCUCGGACGAAUUCCAUUGGGGGUAGAGCACUGUUAAGGCUAGGGGGUCAUCCCGACUUACCA